rnacentral:rRNA from 1 species
AUUGAACGCCGGCGGCAGGCCUAACACAUGCAAGUCGAACGAGUGGCGGACGGGUGAGUAAUGUCUGGGAAACUGCCUGAUGGAGGGGGAUCACUACUGGAAACGGUAGCUAAUAACGCAUACCAUCAGAUGUGCCAAGAUGGGAUUAGCUAGUUGGUGGGGUAACGGCUCACCAAGGGGACGAUCCCUAGCUGGUCUGAGAGGGUGACCAGCCGAACUGGAACUGUGAGACGGUCUAGACGCCUACGUGAGGCAGCAGUGGGGAAUAUUGCACAAUGGGCGCAAGCCUGAUGCAGCCAUGGCGCGUGUAUGAAGAAGGCCUUCGGGUUGUAGAGUACUUUCAGCGGGGAGGCGUUACCCGCAGAAGAAGCACCGGCUAAAUCCGGGCCAGCAGCCGCGGUAAUAC